rnacentral:rRNA from 1 species
UACGUAGGGACCAAGCGUUGUUCGGAUUUACUUGGCGUAAAGGGCGCGUAGGCGGCAAUUCAAGUCAGCUGUGAAAUCUCCGGGCUUAACUCGGAACGGUCAGCUGAUACUGCUUUGCUAGAGUGCAGAAGGGGCAAUCGGAAUUCUUGGUGUAGCGGUGAAAUGCGUAGAUAUCAAGAGGAACACCUGCGGCGAAGGCGGGUUGCUGGGCCGACACUGACGCUGAGGCGCGAAAGCUAGGGGAGCGAACGGG